rnacentral:rRNA from 1 species
GUAAGUGGGUUCUGCUAUCACUCUUGGGAUGGGACCCUGCGGUGCAUUUAGCUAGUUGGUAGGGGUAACGGGCCUACCAAGGCGAUGAUGCAUAGCCCGAGUUGAGAGACUGAUCGGGCCACAUUGGGGACUGAGACACGGGCCCAAAACUCCUACGGGGAGGCAGCAGUAGGGAAUCUUCCACAAUGGACGCAAGUCUGAUGGAGCAACGCCGCGUGAGUGAAGAAGGGUUUCGGCUCGUAAAAGCUCUGUUGUUGGUGAAGAAGGACAGGGUAGUAACUGACCUUUGUUUGACGGUAAUCAAUUAGAAGUCACGGCUAACUACGUGCCAGCAGCCGCGGUAAU